CCUACGGGAGGCAGCAGUAGGGAAUCUUCCACAAUGGGCGAAAGCCUGAUGGAGCAACGCCGCGUGGGUGAAGAAGGUCUUCGGAUCGUAAAACCCUGUUGUUAGAGAAGAAAGUGCGUGAGAGUAACUGUUCACGUUUCGACGGUAUCUAACCAGAAAGCCACGGCUAACUACGUGCCAGCAGCCGCGGUAAUACGUCGGUGGCAAGCGUUAUCCGGAUUUAUUGGGCGUAAAGGGAACGCAGGCGGUCUUUUAAGUCUGAUGUGAAAGUCGUCGGCUUAACCGGAGUAGUGCAUUGGAAACUGGGAGACUUGAGUGCAGAAGAGGAGAGUGGAACUCCAUGUGUAGCGGUGAAAUGCGUAGAUAUAUGGAAGAACACCAGUGGCGAAAGCGGCUCUCUGGUCUGUAACUGACGCUGAGGUUCGAAAGCGUGGGGAGCAAACAGGAUUAGAUACCCCUGUAGUC
rnacentral:rRNA from 1 species